rnacentral:misc_RNA from 1 species
AUGACCGAUAUCGCGCCGAAGACACAUCAGAAAAAUCUGGUAUUGCCAACUUUUCUCAAUAUGCCUUUAAAUAUCGCUAAUCUAGUUUUGGAAAAGAUGGAGACCAUGGAUCGGAUCUUUUGAGAAGAAGUACAUUCCAAAGUUGCACGAUAUAUUUUGUCAGUUCAAAAAUAAAUCCGAUGGAAAUUGCAAAAGUAUUUAAAUCGGACUAUGGCAAUGAAUUUAAUAUCGAAUAUUCAAAUGGUAACGACAAAUUCGGUAUUUUUCUUGAAGAUUUGCAGUAUCUGAAUAAAAACCAUUUUAAAUUGAAUGUGAAAAGAUUGUGA